AACGAACGCUGGCGGCGUGCUUAACACAUGCAAGUCGAACGAGAAAGCGGUUUCGGCCGCGAGUAGAGUGGCGCACGGGUGAGUAAUAGAUAGGAACGUACCGACGAGUGGGGAAUAACCAUGGGAAACUGUGGCUAAUACCGCAUGAGAUCGCAAGAUGAAAGGGGGCCUCUACUUGUAAGCUCUCGCUAGUCGAUCGGCCUAUCUCCCAUUAGCUAGUUGGUAGGGUAAAGGCCUACCAAGGCGACGAUGGGUAGCUGGUCUGAGAGGAUGAUCAGCCACACUGGAACUGAGACACGGUCCAGACUCCUACGGGAGGCAGCAGUGGGGAAUCUUGCACAAUGGGGGCAACCCUGAUGCAGCAACGCCGCGUGAGUGAAGAAGGCCCUUGGGUUGUAAAGCUCUUUCGGCCAGGAAGAAGGGUGUCGAGACGAAUACUUUCGGCAUCUGACGGUACUGGAAGAAGAAGCACCGGCUAAUUCCGUGCCAGC
rnacentral:rRNA from 1 species